AGUAUGAACUUCAUAUACCUUACUGAUAUUAUUCUAACACAAUAAAAAUUAUCGAUUAUCAUGUCGACCGGGGUGACUUUGUCUACCCCGGGGUGACUUUGUCCCACCUCGCGGAAAAAUAUUCAAAUCAGUUUAUAUCCGAUCUCUGUUAUCCGAAAUCGAUGUUCAACAUUGAUAGCCGUAGCCCUGAUCAUUAUCGAGGUUCUACAAUCGAUAUCUUGUCGAAUCUCGAUAUAUUAGUUGAAUUAUCGACAUGGAACCAAACUGCUUGCUUCAUCUUGUGAUUUCAUUGUCGGAAAAUUUCCUAUUAGAAAACUUAUUUCUAAAAUACUUAUGAUAUCGUCAGCUGAGUUCUCCUCAGGCGGAAGCAGAGGUCCCCGAGAAGGACCUUGUUGUACUUUCAACUGCCCAUCCUUGAAUGUUCUCAGCUGAUCGGCUUCAAUUUGCGAGUUUCCGUAAAUCACUGAUCCAUCCAAGUUGAACAGUGAUGAGUGUAAAUUUACCAGUCAUUUGAGGCGUCAAUGAGAUGUCAUGAGCAAUGAACUGCGCCCACACGGCUGACAGAACAACCAGAUGCGAGUGAGGAAUGUCCGAGUGACUGUGCACUAUCAACGACACCUCUCUGGCACUUGGCAGUCUGCCUGAACUGUAAAAACAAAUGACUAUUGAAGUUUUGCUGUUAAGAACACAGAAAUUCGAUUAAUUGUACAGGUUUUACAACCUAUAAACGGUAAAGUGAAUGUGAUUGGAAGCUUAGCUUCUAUUAUAUCUAAGCGUUUCUGUUCAUAAAAAUGUCCUCCAGCUUACUAAAUUUUGCUAAAUAAAGCUAAAAAUUGUCAUUUAACGUUGGAAAAUAUACCAUUGAAAUCAAGAGUAAUUUUCAAAAAGAUACUACACGAUAUAAUAUUUCAAGAGGAAUGAUAAUUAUUUGAUAUUUACCAACGAAAUAAGUGUUCUUUUCCGUCUAUCAGUUCAGAAUUAUUAACAUCUCUCUUGAUAUUUGAAUAUGUAUUCUAAGAGUGCAUGAAAAAGUGAUAAAAGUCCACAAAGAACCCCAUCUUUCCACUAAUAGAGUGAUUAAAUAUGAAUAUUGGAAAAGUCUUUUCUAUACAUGUUAAUAUGUCUUGUCUCCUAAACACAAUUUAUCAUAUUAGAGAGGAUGAAAGCCUUAGACAGAUUAUUCACUUUUGAGUGCCUAUGUCUCUAACAAAACUUAUUCAUCCGGAUAACUUUUAUUUACGUAAUAACUUUUAGCAUUGCGUAUAUGCAUCCAAAAAGUGUACUUGGAUGAUACGCUUCUAAAGGUAUAUCCACAG